UAAUGUAAUGGUUGCAAUAUUAAUGCACAGGAUCUCAUUAGAACUCCACAUUUAAGAGCACUUGGGAUGGAGUAGUACUGGGAUGGGUGACCUCCAGGGAAGUCCAAGUGUUUUACAUGCC
rnacentral:rRNA from 1 species